AAUAUAUUUCUUUUAUUAUAA
rnacentral:tRNA from 2 species